rnacentral:lncRNA from 1 species
CACCUCAUCAAUCCGCUCCUAUCAAUGUCCCAGCCAUGGAGGUGACUUCGAGUGCUCAGAAGCCUUAGAAAAUGUCAACGUUUUGGGAGAAAAGGUGAGGAAAAAGAGACAAGAGUUUGGCAGCAAGUAACUUCCAGAGCUGGGAAUCAAGCUAAGCUUGCUGACAUGGUGUAUCCUGAAAUGGAGAGAGUUAAAUGAAGAAUUUGAAAUCCUCCUAAGGCCAGAAACCUGCGCGUGCUUUGGAUGUAAGUAACAUUUGUCAAGCCUGAAUUUUAGAAAGUUUGUAUAACAUUUAAUUCAUUGUUUUAAUCCAAAGGAGAACAUCCUGUUUACUGAGCCCUCAGAGUUGUUGAAAUAUGAAUAUGAAAUAGGAAUCCUUUCAACAUCCCAGAUUGUUCCUAUUUUUAUUUUUAUGUCUGAGAGUAUGGAUGUUCAGAGACGUUAAGUAACAUACUCUAAAUAACAUAGGUAAAAAGUACCAGGGCCAGGAUUUAAACCUGGUUUUGAUCAUUUUAAGGCCCAUGGGAAGGCCUACCACUUGCUAUCAAGACACAUAAAGCACAGUGCCUAGAGUGAGCUAACAACCUAUUAUAGAUUCCACAUGCAUCCCAUUUUCUGAGGCUUGUUAAAUUGUCUGAGAAAGGGCAUUAUGAUCAGUUUUCUUCAGUAAAUUUCACCAGUUUGGCCAAAGCCACUGAGGCAAGGUGACCUGAACGGCAUGUUGGUUAAUGUAGAUUCAAACCUGGAUGGUUGUUUUAUUUCUUUGUGAUGCUUGCCUGAUCUGGAAAGAAAGCAUAUCCUGUUGACUGAAGGAGAUUGGAGGUCAAAAACAGAAUGAGGAAAAUGGGGAUAGAGAAUUAUUGGGGCUCCUAAGCGAUAUGAAUGGAAUGGAGAGAAUCUGACAAAAAACGUUCUAUGGGGGACUUUUCCCUUGAUUAAAUUAGAGCUAUUUGGAUAGCUAAUUGAAUGAUAGGGUCCAGGAGAAAAGAGCAGCAACCUUAUGAAACCUUUCUUCUUAUAUUUUUAAGUCGUUGGGCAGUUUUACAGCACACCACAUUAGGCGGGAGCAAAGUUUCUUUGCUCAUGGUGAGUUAGCCUCAGAAAUUUCUACACAUACAUCUUUUAAGGAAGAUGACUGUAUAUUUUGGUCAAAGCUAGUAAGGUCAUUGCUUUUGUAUGUUGCUUAAACCUUUCCUGAUAAUGCGCUAUGAACCUCCCUUCCUAUCCCCUGUAGUUGCAUGACUUCUGCUGAGAAUGGGUAGGGAUGCUCAGCCAGGCUGCUGGCUCCAUGCUACUUAGCUGUAACUUAAUAUUCCUAAGUGAAACUUGUUUUGGAGCUUAAGAACUCUGGGAGGUAUUGGUUGCUCCUUCACAUUUCCUGCCACAAACAUUUCCAACUCUCCUUGGAGCAUAAGAGGUGUGGGAGGGGAUGGUGAGGUCUGAGGCAGCCUGCUGUUUGGUGGGUCACAGUUUCCCCUCACCAGGGCUCCCUUUACUCCUUUUGAGUGUGCUGAUAUAGAAUGGGGAUGUGCUUGCAGCGGAAUUUAGUUGGAAGAGAAGGGCUCUGUGGGUCUGGAGUUCAGUCUUUCAGUCAUGGAGCUGGAGUGCCCUCUGCUGCUCUGGAGAGGAAGGUGCAUGAACAGCAUGGCUCUUGCCUGCACUUUGCUCCAGGUACAGGAAAAUCUCCAAAAUGCUCCCUUUGAAAACCAGUGCUCGGUUGAUCACUAAGCAUCUGGUUUCACUCAACUGUGGGGACUUUGGCUUUUUCAAGGAAAUCUCAUUGAGGCUGAGUAUGCAACCAGACCAGAGCCCACGUGGAAGGUAGCUUUCCUUCGGUCAAAAGGUGUGACAGCCAUUUCAGGAUAGGUAUUUGGCUUAUUUUUCAUGAGUGUCAGUGUCACCAUGAAAUAAGUGUUUAUUUUGUGUGUGAUCAAUCUUUUCAUAUAUAUCUGG